rnacentral:rRNA from 1 species
AGAAUCAACGCUGGCGGCGUGCCUAACACAUGCAAGUCGCACGAGAAAGGGGAUUCGUCCCUGAGUAAAGUGGCGCACGGGUGAGUAACACGUGAAUUAUCUACCUCCGAGUGGGGAAUAACUGAGAGAAAUCUUAGCUAAUACCGCAUAACACUUACGAGUCAAAGCAGCAAUGCGCUUGGAGAGGAGUUCGCGGCCGAUUAGUUAGUUGGCGGGGUAAUGGCCCACCAAGACGAUGAUCGGUAUCCGGCCUGAGAGGGGCGCGACGGACGACGACUGGAACUGAAACACGGUCCAGACUCCUACGGGAGGCAGCAGUGGGGAAUUUUGCGCAAUGGGGGAAACCCUGACGCAGCAACGCCGCGUGGAGGAUGAAGUAUCUCGGUACGUAAACUCCUUUCGAUAGGGAAGAUAAUGACGGUACCUAUAGAAGAAGCCCCGGCUAACUUCGUGCCAGCAGCCGC